UACCACUCUUGUUGUAACUGAAUAAUAUGUCCCAAUCUUUAUUCUGGUCAACAAAUUGCACUAUUUUACAAUAUUCCAAUUAAUUGAUGAUACAAAUUUCAUCUUAACACACCUAAUUUAAAAAAAUUGGAAAAAUUCAACUAAAUGAUUUGAAAAGCCUGACGUAAAGCUUUUCAAAUGUGACUUGGAUUUAAAAAUAUUUUUGAACCCUCUGGACAAGUAAAAUAGGAUUUAAUCGAUAAUUUACACAACAGAAUAUUACUUUUAGUGUCGGUUGAUGGAAAAAUUAAACCAAACUAAAUGAAUAUUAACAAUGGCGGAGGACGAUAAUGUAACAACGACUGCAUCCAAUAGAUGGAAUUGGAAACAUCGGAGUGUGGAUAAAGAUUACACGAUAACUGCUGGAUUCAUUUCCGUGUGUUUAGCAAUGAUGAUAAUCAUUAUCAUUGUUAUAUGUAAAUUAAAACGGAAGAGAAGAAUCAAUGAAUAUGACGUUCCACUUACUGUAAAGCUGGUCAGCACAGAACGUCGACGAUUUAAGCCGUCUUCUGAUGGUGUUCUAAAGCCAACAAAUAAGGGAAUAGAGCUCACACUUUUUAAGUAUUAGUCUUUAACACAAGAUUAUUGGUCAGCAUCAAUUUGGAGAACUGUAUUCUGGAAAUUAUCACCAAGAGAAGAACCAUAGGAAAUUCUUAAAGAUAUUAUUCCCCGACAGUCAAGAUCUUGCAUAUAUAUACAGUAACUGUUUUACGGACUGGGUAUAGUGAUGUGAGGCUAUUAGAAUCACCCCCGUUGAAAUUGCACAAUAACUAUUGUACCUUUUUACAAAACAAUGAUACUCGUUUGCUUUUUGUCAAAUUUCAUAAAUACUACGAUCAAAUUUGUAAAGCAAACCAACGCGAAAAUAAUGCAAAUAAUUUCACAGUGCUGAACUUUUAUAUAUAUUUUGGGUAAGCUAAGCAUAAUUUAGUAGUAUUGGAUUGUAAAUUUUCAUUGCCAAGAAACUACAUGGUAGAAUGAACAAAUGGAGUUUGCAAAGGUAAAUGCAAGGCUUCAAAUGCAGCUAAAACUGACAGACAAACGUUUUGACAAUUUCACAUAGAUACUUUUUAUCACAGCUGAUAGUAACGUCAAAUAGAAUGUGCCCAAAAGGUUAAGACAACAGUGAUAUAUUUUAGUAACUAUUUUGUUAUGACUUUGCUUAAGUACCCUAAUUACAGAUUUCUUGCUACAAUAAAUAUGAGAUUGUAAGUAUUGUCAUUCAGGAUCAGAGAAAGUUGUUCUUUAAUAAAUAACCUUAUUUUUCUUAGUCAUUAUACACAUAUCAUAUGCACACCUUCAGAUCAAACUAAAUUUAAAGAGUCUAACAUAUUAUUGAACUAUGCUUAAGGGGGGGGGGGGGUGGAUGGCUGAAUGGUUAGCACAUGCCUGCUGUAUCAUAAAGCCUGUCAUUGAGUCAACUGGUGUGGUUUCGAAUCCCUGACGUGACAAGGAGUAGGGUCGCCUGUCCAACCUCGUGGGUUUUCUCCGGGUCCUCCAGUUUCCUCCCACUGCUAAAGACCCCUACGCGCAAGCGAAUUAUUGAAAUAAAAUUAAACCAUUAUGUUAGUCCCGAAAUGACCUAGUUUGUGUCAAGUGGACGUUAAACCCCAUUUCUCUCUCUCUCUCACUAUGCUUAAAGGGAACAUGUAAGUACCAACAGUAUAUUCAGAUAUUCACAGUGCAGUUUAUGGAAUUUCUUCCCUGAAAUAAUACCAAAUCUGGAUUUUGCAGAAUUUUUUUCAGAAAUCAUGUUUUGUGAUCUUCUUCAGCUAUUCAUUGAAGUUCUCAAAUUUCAGUCACUUUGAAAUAUAAUAAAAAAUCCCAACAUCUAAAUAUUUUUGUAAAGCCCCAUGGAGAUGGGUUUUACUGUUUCAAUUAUAUUUUUAAAAAAGACAUUCUAAUCUUAAAAUACUGUUUUGGAGAUUUUGUAAUAGUAUGCAUACAAUCAUUGAUUUUCCCCCCCAAAAAAUAUGUCCAUGUAGUAUCAACAUAACCAACCUACAAAUCAUAUCCACUUGGGUUUACGGACCAUCAUUUCAAGAUAUUUUGGACAACAUAGAAAUGAAAUGAUACAAAAUGUGGUUUCACGUCUUACUGUUUUGCUCUGACUGGGCUAAUGAAGACGUGCAUACGCCAUACAGUAUUAUAUGAGGGAAAUUUUGCCCAAACAUCGGUGCUACUCUUAUAUCGAAUUCCAACUGCCAAGGGAUGUUGUACGUGCACACCAAUGUGUAAAAGGGAUCUCGGUUUUUUCCUCCCACCUGAACAAUUAGACAGUUAUCCUUAUCAGGCCCUUCGUCCUGCAUCAAUGACAAGGGCAAACCACGACAGAACUUUCUCGACCAACACCGAGAGCAAACCCACAACCUCCAGGCUAGCGAGCCAGCAUCUUACCCACUUAGCCACUGUGGCUCCUUUUGGAAAACAAAAUAUAUCUAUGAAUGUUUUAAAAAAAAGUAAAAUGUUUUUCUAAUGCCAAAAAAUAAUGGUUUAUUAUGCUUUUACACAGAUCUGUUACAUCUCUUUGAUCUUGUAAUAGAAUGGUGUAAAUAAUGAAUAAUAUACAUUUUAAUUGCAAUAUUAAUCACAGCUUGUAUCAAUCAUACAAUCAGAAUUUGUUCUUGUGUAUAAUAUAAAUUCAGUAUCAAAUCUAGAAUUUACUAAAUAAUGUUAAAGAAUUUACUGCUUUUAAACAUAUUUAAAUUUGUGUAUGACUUUUACAAACUAUAAGAUUAUGGACAGUAUGUACCAUUUUCAUUUUGAGUAAGGAACAACGUGGUAUAGUUUCUGUAUAGUUACCUAAUCCUAAUUUUUGUAUGCAUCAUUACAAACAAAAGCCAGUAUGUAACAAUCCUUACUUUAAGACAUGUUAUAUGCAUAACAUAAACUUAAAGAUACAUUAUGUAAUAUUUAGAUAAAGAGCUGGCAGUUCUUGGUAUAAUAGUUAAAAAAUAGAUAACGAAACGGGAUUAUAUGUUGAAAAUUUAAGUCAAAUAAGUUCAUCCUGAGCAGAGUUAGUGUAGUAUUGAAUGUCAAUGCUGCCAUUGUAAUGAUAAUAAAGAAAGUCUUGAUUAUCCAUUUUUAAAUUAAAUUAUUAACUGGCAAUCAUGUUUAAAUCCAUUGAAAAUCAAAACCAUCUGAUAGUCUAGAGAGUUGAAUAUGGGCUUGGCAUGUGAAUAAAUGCCCGAUUAAUGAUUUGUAUAACAUUUUGAGACCAAACGCGAAAAACCAGUGAUCCCAAUUGAGUAUUCACUGGUGUCUACUGAUAAGUUCAUAGCUGUGUUUUUCCUUAUUUAGUUUGACUUACAUAAUGCAUCUUUAAGAGUAGCAAACAACACUUUUACUUUGAUUAAUGAUUUACAGCUUUUGUACAUUAUCUUAUCAGUCAUUUUUACAAAGCGAAUCCAAAAUACAAUACUGG